CCUACGGGGGGCAGCAGUGGGGGAUAUUGCACAAUGGGGGGAACCCUGAUGCAGCGACGCCGCGUGAGUGAAGAAGUAUUUCGGUAUGUAAAGCUCUAUCAGCAGGGAAGAAGAAAGACGGUACCUGAGUAAGAAGCCCCGGCUAACUACGUGCCAGCAGCCGCGGUAAUACGUAGGGGGCAAGCGUUAUCCGGAUUUACUGGGUGUAAAGGGAGCGUAGACGGCAAUGCAAGUCCGGAGUGGAAUGCGGCAGCUCAACUGCCGAACUGCUCUGGAAACUGUAUGGCUUGAGUGCAGGAGGGGGA
rnacentral:rRNA from 1 species